rnacentral:tmRNA from 1 species
GGGGGCGACACGGCUUCGACGGGGGUGAAGACUCGCGGGAUGCAUGCCGAGCUCCAUUGACUCGUAAAUCCGAUGGAACAUCCGUUAACUGCGGAUACUCAGUACGCUCUCGCAGCUUAAUAAGCUGUGAGCGUCUGCCCCAACCUCGCCUGGUGGUUGGGGG